rnacentral:rRNA from 1 species
GCAGAAUACCUGAUAUUGAAAGAUUAAUCGCUUUUGAAAGAGCUUCUAUAAGAUUAGGUAGUUGGUAGAGUAAAGGUUUACCAAGCCAAAGAUCUUUAGCUGGUCUGAGAGGAUGGUCAGCCACACUGGGACUGAGAAAGGCCCAGACUCCCACGGGAGGCAGCAGUCGGGAAUAUUGGACAAUGGGCGAAAGCUUGAUCCAGCAAUAUUACGUGAGUGAAGAAGAGAUUAUUCGUAAAGCUCUAAAAUCAAGGAGGAUAAUGACGUUACUUGAUGAAAAGCCCUGGCAAACUUCGUGCCAGCAGCCGCGGUAAAACGGAGGGGGCAAGUGUUACUCGUCAUAAUUGGGCGUAAAGGGUGCGCAGGCGGUCUUUUAAGUUAUGGGUGAAAGGUUAAUUUAAAAAGUUAAAAAGGCUUAUAAUACUGAAAGAGUAGAGUAUAGUAGAGGAAAAUGGAACUUUUACAGUAGAGGUGGAAUUCUGGGAUAGUAAAGGGACGACCAAAGGCGAAGGCAAUUUUCUGGGCUAUAACUGACGCUGAAGCACGAAAGCAUGGGGAGCAAACAGGAUUAGAUACCCUGGUAGUCCAUGCCGUAAACUAUGAGUGUUAGAUAUUAGGAUAAGUAAAUUAUCUUAGUUUCACAGCUAACGCGUAAACACUCCGCCUGGGGACUACGGUCGCAAGAUUAAAACUUAAAGGAAUUGACGGAAAUCUACACAAGCGGUGGAACAUGUGGUUUAAUUCGAUACAACGCGCAAAACCUUACCAGUUCUUGAAAU